rnacentral:snRNA from 1 species
AGAUGUGAGGGUGAUCUGGUUGCAACAUCUGUUACCCCAUUGAUUGCCAGGGUUGAUUCGGCUAAUCUGGCUGGCUAGGCAGGUGUUCCCUUCCUUUCUCACUGCUCCAUGUGUGUCCCUCCUGAAGCUAUAUGCUCAGCUGAAGAGGACAGCCUUCCCCAAAUAGAGACAGACCAGUCUUUAGUCAAAGGUGUAUGAGUAGCUGUGCUCUCCUGAUAGAACCUUCAAACAAGCUCUCAAGGUCCAUUUGUAGGAGAACAUAGGGUAGUCAAGUUUCCAAGACCCCAGACACAUCCAAAUGAAGUGCUGCAUGUGGCAGUCUGCCUUUCUUU